UGCGGAAACGAGAGCCAAGUUUUUAAGCGGGGGCGCCACAUGAAGACGCUCUAAACUCAGAUUUUGUUUCAGCUUUCUAAAACCCAAAAUCACGAAUUUCACUCUCUCAUUUCCAGAGAAAUCUACGAACUAACAAUGUCGGCUGCGAAAACAAGCUCCAAGAAACGAGCCGCUGAAUCGGUACUCACCAAAUCGGACUCCAAAUUCCGUGUCGAGGACGACUUCGAUGUCGAUCUUUCCAGCGAUAUUAAGGGGAUAAUGUCAGCGCUGCAACAAAUAAAAGAGAAAGCACAAAAGGACGAUCAAAAGAAGAACGAGGAAACAAUUUCAAGUGUGGCGUCUGACAUCAGGUCCAUGAUUGAUGAGUUGAAAUCGAAAAUUGAAAAGGACAGGCAAAGUUUUGCAAAGGCACUUUCAAAGAGCUCGAAAGAGUGUGAGAACUGCCUGAAAAAUGAGAGUACCAAGUUUAAAGAGAUAUAUGAAAAAUUUUGCAAGGAGAAAGAAGCUCAUUUGCAGGCCUUAAAAGAUACCAUUUCCAAAUAUGAAGAAGACAAGGACAGGCUGUUCGUGCGAUAUGAACAAUUAAGGAAGAAAGAGAAAAAUAUGAUAUCUGAACAAGAGAAAACUUGUGCUGAUAAGAUUGCUAGAUUGGAGGAGUCCUUAAAAAGGAAAAAACAGGAUGACAAAACUUUCAGCAUUUUGAGGAAAACGCUUGGCUCAUUCCUAGGAAAUGCCUCAGAUGAGGACUUCCCACCAGAUGAUUAAGAGAUCGCAUUAGAAGACAGCAUGGCGAGUGCAAGCCUUCAGCUGUAGACAUAGCUACUUCCUAUCCCAAAACAAUUUAGCUUAUGAAAUCCUGUCUGCGAAAGACUUGUCAAGCAAAAUUUUAGCAGCGAAGGCCUUAGUCUACUGAACAUACUCAUGGGUGGUAUAGUACUGUGCCUAAAAGGUCGGCAAAUUUCAUACCAUUCACGGAGAAGGAAUAUCAAAAUCAGAUUUUCUUGCUUGUAGAGUUGACCUGACAUAUAGUUAUCUCAGAAGAUAAAAUGGGGGGAGAGAGAGGGAUAAUGUCUAAUCCAAGCAUCUACAUUUGCAACUAAAAUAAACCAUAACUUCAGUUAGGACUUAAGGCUUCCUGUCAAAUAAGAAAUUUGAUUGAUCACAAGAAACCAAACAGCUAAUUAGUUAGAAGACAG